rnacentral:rRNA from 1 species
UGGGGAAUAUUGGACAAUGGGGGCAACCCUGAUCCAGCAAUUCUGUGUGCACGAUGAAGGUUUUCGGAUUGUAAAGUGCUUUCAGCAGGGAAGAAAAAAAUGACGGUACCUGCAGAAGAAGCGACGGCUAAAUACGUGCCAGCAGCCGCGGUAAUACGUAUGUCGCAAGCGUUAUCCGGAAUUAUUGGGCAUAAAGGGCAUCUAGGCGGCCAGAUAAGUCUGGGGUGAAAACUUGCGGCUCAACCGCAAGCCUGCCCUGGAAACUAUGUGGCUAGAGUACUGGAGAGGUGGACGGAACUGCACGAGUAGAGGUGAAAUUCGUAGAUAUGUGCAGGAAUGCCGAUGAUGAAGAUAGUUCACUGGACGGUAACUGACGCUGAAGUGCGAAAGCUAGGGGAGCAAACAGGAUUAGAUACCCUGGUAGUCCUAGCUGUAAACGAUGAUUACUGGGUGUGGGCAUGAAGAGUGUCCGUGCCGAAGCUAAUGCGAUAAGUAAUCCGCCUGGGGAGUACGGCCGGCAAGGCUG